rnacentral:lncRNA from 1 species
GCCGGAUGCGGUUUCUAGUAUAGAGCUCCCAAAAUGCAGGUUGACUCGGCGGUCGUACUGUUCAUUUUCCUGUAUGAAUAGAAUUAAUAGUGGUGUGAUGUUGAGGAAGUGGUUAUGUCACGCCCCGGGACCCAGCGGAAGCCCGCCCGGCGCGUGCCCAGACCCGCCAUACGUCUAAAAUAUAUAAGGCAGUGAUAAAAGACAACUAGGAGUAUCAGAGCAUGAUAAGUGUCUAAGUUCAACGACAAGGGAGUAAGGAUAAAACUGAAAUCCACUAAAGAAACAUAAGGUAGUACAAAGGAAACCCCAAAAUAAGUGCUAAAAGUAAAUACAUAGGUGGUCUCUAUACAUGGAUACAAAAUCUCUAACUCUCUCAACUACCAAAAAGAAAGAGUAAACCACCUAGGCAAAGAACCGCUCCUCGCUAGCUAGCUAUGCGAUCCCCUUGCCACGACCCCGUGCCUCCGCCGGUGCCGAAGGCUCUGAAAGAAACCACAAAAAGAGGGCGUGAGAACUAUUAAAAAUAGUUCCCAGUGGGCAAUUACUGACUUCAGUGAACUGCGCCACAAGGCCCAAAAGCUACAAGGAAGAGGUCAGUGACAAAAUGUACUAAAGCAAAAGGAAAGUAAAAUGUAACUCGCUAUAGCAUAAUGUCUCUACUUAGCAUGAUUUGUAUAAGUAAUAAAGCAACUAUAACAUGAAUGCACAUGGAUGUGUAUAACAUGAAUCAGCAUAGGUAUGCAACCCUCACGAUGUCCAUAAUACAAAUAGUAAAGAUAUCACUGUUUACUAUUCUAGCCAAAGUCCCGUCAAUAUACAAAGUCAUCAUCUGUCCUCAUGUCAUAAUGAAUACUCAAAGUCAAAUCUGAAGAGACCCACCCGAAGGCUGUCUAUGGCCCUGAGACCCACCCGUAGGCUGUCUGGCCGGUGCCGAGCCUAAUGGCCCCGUGGUAGUCAUCAUCCCCACCCUAGGAAUGAGCCUGGCCCACGGCAAUCCACUUUGGCGCCCAAUCCCGCACGGCGAAUAUGAAUCGCGAUGGCUAUCUCCGGAGUGCCGGCUUGUAGGGAGCGACCCUCACAAGCAUGUGCGAAUGAGCACAAUGGCAAGUAGUCAUACGUCCUGUCACAAGUACCAAGUCCUCAUGUCUAAAAUAUGGAAUGUAUCGAAUGUCCCAAUGGCCUAUCUCUAUGUCAUCAUGUCUCUAACAUGGAAUAUAUAGCAGAUGUUCGAUGACCUAACAUUAUAUCUCUAUGUUGCAGUUUCAUAGUUUACUAGUUUCGAGUGCCCCUUGAUGACACUUCAUGCUACUAAGUCAAGCCUAGUAUACUGUUUCCCAUUAUCCAAAUAUGAGCUAAUUUAGCAUUCUAGACGAGCAUCCCAUUCGUCCACACGAACACUCCUCACAUGCAUGAAAAUAACCCUGCUCGCUCUACUAUAUAGAGUGAAAUUUAACUUACACAUAAGGCAUGCAUUUUAAGUGUCCUAAAAUUCACAUAAAUUCCAUUUAGCAUAGAAAUGCAUUUAAAAAUACUUUACAACAAGUAUAAAGGGCAUAGGGGCCAUUUUGCCCCGUUUCCACGAAGCCAAACCCACCAAAAUCGACUUCUUCGUUUCGCUGAACGAAGUGAUCCACAAGCUUCCUAGUACCCUAGAAGCAUCAAAAGUAGGGUUACCCAAACGAAACGAAGAGCCUAUAGCUCAAUCAUUAACCAUCUAGCAAAAGGGGUAAAACUCACCUCAAGAGCAACAAUCUCCUCUCAAGCUCCAAAUGAGAGCUAGAACCCUUCCAAUCUAUCCUAGAGGAAGGUUCUAAUCCAAAAGAUUGAGCCUCAAAAGCCCUAAAUCAAAAACGCCCAAAAACAACCCUAAGUGUACAAUCUAGGGUUUCAUCUCAAAGAGAACCUCAAAUCCAAAAUCUAGAGGGAGAGAAUAAGCUACCAACCUCUUAGAAGCUUCCAACAAGGUUCAAAGUCCUCAAGGUCGAAGAAUCUCUCCUCCAACAAGCUCCAAACCCAAGCUCUAAUGGUGGAAAUGCCUUCAACACCCAAAAAGGAGCAAAAAGAGGUGUUUAAUCUCUAAAAACCCAAGCAAAAUCAAGGAAAAGGAAUGAGGAGGUGUGGAGAGCUCCCUCACCUUUCUCCUUGCUGGUGCCAAGCUCAGGGAAGACCCCUAGGGCGUGGGGAUACAAAUAGAGAGGCUACAAUCGCGAAUACACCCCUGCAGUUCAAACUACUCAAAAACUGCCUCCUUGUACCGGUACACGGGCUCUUGUACCAGUACAAGCCCAACGAAAAUCACAACCCGAGGCUCGGGUUGGCGGGUUCAGCGGCUCUGUACCGGUACAAGCCGAUGGCUGUACCGGUACAACUAUCAACCCUUGUACCGGUACACCCAUCAACCCUGUACCGGUACAAGGCCCUGAAAACUGAAAUCCGAGAGCAGCCUAAGCCCAACUUUUUGGUGACCUUAGCGCUACUUUAAAAACCUCGAUUCUCAGGAUACGCGCCAUAGGUCGGAACACAGUCAACGACCCACCAGAAAAUCUGGAAAAGCUCAGGACACAGUCCAAACACUCGAACCUCGCAAUUUGCAAAGGUCCAGUGUGCUACAGGUUACGAUGGCAUCGAUCCCGUCAUGUGCGAGUGGGAGAUGUUGGCAUUCGGUUAAAUCGAAUCGGGUACGCCCAUAAGCGGGUUCGAUCCGACGGAUAUUAUGUUAUCUAAUUGGAUUGGAAUUAAUCUCGCUUUCAAAUUGAAAAGUUAGU